rnacentral:lncRNA from 7 species
GCAGAAGAAAAGCAGAUGCAGGUGAAAGAGCAGUGGUGAGAUGCAAUGGAAACCAUCAGAAGAGUGAGGAUACAAGGAGGAAAGAACAGCAGAAGAGGAGCACAGCUGCCGAGAAUGAGCAGUGAGAAUACAGGGAAGAAAGAGGAGGAGGAGAGCCGAUGCAGAAGAAAAGAGACGUCACGUUACAGAAGAAAAGCAGGGCAGACGAAGUACGGAGAGGAAGCAGGGGAAAAAAACGCUGAAGAGCAAGGAUAGAGAUGAAAGAGCAGUGAGGAUACACAGAGGAUAGAACAGCAGAAGAGAAGCAGAAGAGAAAAAACAGGAAAAGAGUGAGAAUGCAGACGGAAAAGCAGGGAGAAUACAGGGAAGAACCAAGAGCCUAAGAGAAGUGCAAAUGCAAAAGCAAGCGAGGCUACAGGGAAGAAAGGACAGCAGAAGGGGAGUGCAGGUGCAGAUCCCCCAAACACAGCACUCCCUGCCCGCUAGGGUUGCGGGUGCGACGCAGUCACCACAAUGACGUCGAGGAUCAAUGCCGGGUAAUUCAGUGAGCGUUCCAACAAAGAAUCAAGGAAAAAACUGCCAGGCAAAGGAAAGAAACCUUCUGGCAACAGGUCUUCAACGUUACGCGUAGAGUCCUUUGGAACAGGAGUUGUUUCUGUGUCAACAACUUGAAGAUCAAUUCAGGCAACGGCUACUAA